GCUCAAUUAAAUUUCUAGCCCAAUUUUUUUUUCUUCGAAAUUUCACUUCAAGAGAAUAUUACCUCUAAUUCUGCAACCUGCAUUUACUCAAUCUGCACCAUAAGCCACUAUUCCAAUGUCUUAGUCUGUAUUAAUUUUUGUUUAGACAAGCAAGUAUUUGCAAAACUUUGAUAAGCAGAUAAGACUUAAGACACAUAAGAAAAAUGUUGAAAUAUUGUUAUUCAUGCUAGUAGUUGGAUUAAAUUUUGGUGCAGACUGUUUACUGAAGGAUGUGUUUGUUAACUUUUAAGUAGAUGCAUGUUUGAAAACUACCAUUUGGGUCUGAAGCACAUUGUCAGGUACAAAUAUUACACAAGAGUUUUUUUGGUUUUUUUUUUUUUUAUUGUUGAGCUCCUUUAUUUUCUAUGAGGUCUCUCAGCCUCCCCUCUGUCUGUUAUUAAAGUUCUUAGAUCUGGCAUUAAGGUAGUGGAAUUCAAAUUGCUUGUAAGAAAGAUAACUAAUUUAUUCCCAGCUGGAGUUUUUUUAUGCCAUCUCUUAAAUCUGAAAGCUGUUGACAUGUAAUGAAUAUGUUACAUUCUCUACAUAUCUCAGAAUAAAUAACAAUAUAUUUGUGCAAAAAUAUUUUCAGAAUGAUUUCUUUAUUUGGACCAACC
rnacentral:lncRNA from 1 species